GAACAGGGCUGUGGUCAGAGGAUGUUUCUGACAGACAGGAGGUUUUAGAUGUGGAGAGGCAGGGCUGUGGUCAGAGGAUGUUUCUGACAGACAGGAGGUUUUAGAUGUGGAGAGGCAGGGCUGUGGUCAGAGGAUGUUUCUGACAGACAGGAGGUUUUAGAUGUGGAGAGGCAGGGCUGUGGUCAGAGGAUGUUUCUGACAGACAGGAGGUUUUAGAUGUGGAGAGGCAGGGCUGUGGUCAGAGGAUGUUUCUGACAGACAGGAGGUUUUAGAUGUGGAGAGGCAGGGCUGUGGUCAGAGGAUGUUUCUGACAGACAGGAGGUUUUAGAUGUGGAGAGGCAGGGCUGUGGUCAGAGGAUGUUUCUGACAGACAGGAGGUUUUAGAUGUGGAGAGGCAGGGCUGUGGUCAGAGGAUGUUUCUGACAGACAGGAGGUUUUAGAUGUGGAGAGGCAGGGCUGUGGUCAGAGGAUGUUUCUGACAGACAGGAGGUUUUAGAUGUGUGGAAACAGGAGAGGCAGGGCUGUGGUCAGAGGAUGUUUCUGACAGUUGAAAAGGUAAAAGGUUCCCUACAUAUUCCGGGUGUUUCUGUUCUGUUUGAAUCUGGAUUCUUUGCAGAGGGGAAGUGACCCGAAGAUGUUGCUGUAGCCUCCGUUUGCACUGGGAGGAGGCAGAAAGGCAUCGUAUCUGCUGUCCAAUGAGAUUCGAGCAGAAAUCAUCUGAUACCCAAUGAUAUUAGAUCUAUAUUUGUGUGGAAUAAUUCAGGAAGGGCCCCUUGACUUUGUCCACAUUUUGUUGUGUUACAGCCUGAAUUUUAAAAUGGAUUAAAUUAAUUGUGUUUGUCACUGUCCUCAAUACUCUAUAAUGUCAACGUGGAGUUGUGUUUUCAGAAAUGUUUACAAAUGAAUAAAAAAAUGAAAAGCUGAAA